AUAAAUCCUCCCGGUAAAGAAAAUCAAAUUCGUAAGUCUGAUUUUGAUCCGAACCGAAGCAAAAUCAAUCGAUCGAAGAGGGAUCCAAAAGCAUGUCGGCACUCUUCAAUUUCCAUUCAUUUUUAACGGUAGUGUUAUUGGGAAUCUGCACUUGCACUUUCUUGAAGAUGCAAUUUCCAGCACUCUUUGAACAGAGAACCGGGUUUUGAGGUUUCUUUCGGAAGGCAGCCAGAAUAGGGAAAGGGGCAACAAAAAAUGAUGCCGUUGAGCAGCAGUCCAGGGAGGAUUAGGUCAGGUUAUUUUAACAUAAGAAUGAGGAUAUUGAUGCUUCAUUUUCUUUGCAAAACAUUGGAAUACUUCAAUACUGCAUUAGCUAGAAGCAGUUGAAUCCUUCUCUGCAUUUUAGUUGUAUAACCAACUGGCAUGUUUUGACUCUCAGGUUUACAGUGUCAUUUGAUGUGCAUGAACAAUGAUUAUUGUAGUAAUUGAUUCAGAUUUUGUUUGUAGGGAUCCAUUAUGAGAUAUGAUGUAUAUUUGAGCUAGUAUCUCUUUUGUUCUAUUUGUGUAAUAGGGUUCCUCCCUGCCAUUUUGUUCCUUGAAUUACAUUUGUAAAUGGACAUGCUAAUGUAAAUAUUUAUGUGGAUGAAAUGUUUCAUUUGUAACAAAGAUAUUUUUUCACCUCUCUUGACUAGAUGCAGUAGUAAGUUGUUUCACCGGUGUUUCUUACGUUAGUGUGUUUCCUGGACUCCUUUUACUUUUUGAAUUUUGUUCCUUCGAGA